rnacentral:rRNA from 1 species
AAAGUGGAGCAAUCCAUGAGUAAAGUGGCGACCGGGUGAGUAACACGUGACUAACCUACCUCCGAGUGGGGAAUAACUCCGGGAAACCGGGGCUAAUACCGCAUAACAUCGCAAGAUCAAAGCAGCAAUGCGCUGGGAGAGGGGGUCGCGGCUGAUUAGCUAGUUGGCGGGGUAACGGCCCACCAAGGCGAAGAUCAGUAGCCGGCUUGAGAGAGUGACCGGCCACAUUGGGACUGAGACACGGCCCAAACUCCUACGGGAGGCAGCAGUGGGGAAUAUUGCACAAUGGGGGAAACCCUGAUGCAGCGACGCCGCGUGAGUGAAGAAGUAUUUCGGUAUGUAAAGCUCUAUCAGCAGGGAAGAAAAUGACGGUACCUGACUAAGAAGCCCCGGCUAACUACGUGCCAGCAGCCGCGGUAAUACGUAGGGGGCAAGCGUUAUCCGGAUUUAUUGGGUUUAAAGGGUGCGUAGGCGGGCUAUUAAGUCAGUGGUGAAAGCCCCAAGCUUAACUUGGGAAUUGCCAUUGAUACUGAUGGUCUUGAGUACACUUGAAGUGGGCGGAAUGUGUCAUGUAGCGGUGAAAUGCUUAGAUAUGACACAGAACACCGAUUGCGAAGGCAGCUCACUAAAUUGUAACUGACGCUGAGGCACGAAAGCGUGGGGAUCAAACAGGAUUAGAUACCCUGGUAGUCCACGCCCUAAACGAUGAUUACUCGAUGUGUGCAAUACACCGUACGCGUCUGAGCGAAAGCAUUAAGUAAUCCACCUGGGGAGUACGACCGCAAGGUUGAAACUCAAAGG